GAUGAACGCUGGCGGCGUGCCUAAUACAUGCAAGUCGAGCGAACUGAUUAGAAGCUUGCUUCUAUGACGUUAGCGGCGGACGGGUGAGUAACACGUGGGCAACCUGCCUGUAAGACUGGGAUAACUUCGGGAAACCGAAGCUAGUACCGGAUAGGAUCUUCUCCUUCAUGGGAGAUGAUUGAAAGAUGGUUUCGGCUAUCACUUACAGAUGGGCCCGCGGUGCAUUAGCUAGUUGGUGAGGUAACGGCUCACCAAGGCAACGAUGCAUAGCCGACCUGAGAGGGUGAUCGGCCACACUGGGACUGAGACACGGCCCAGACUCCUACGGGAGGCAGCAGUAGGGAAUCUUCCGCAAUGGACGAAAGUCUGACGGAGCAACGCCGCGUGAGUGAUGAAGGCUUUCGGGUCGUAAAACUCUGUUGUUAGGGAAGAACAAGUACAAGAGUAACUGCUUGUACCUUGACGGUACCUAACCAGAAAGCCACGGCUAACUACGUGCCAGCCGCCGCAGUAAUAC
rnacentral:rRNA from 1 species